GCGGCAGAGCCUCGCGGGGGGCGGCUAGGGCUGGUUGGCCCGGUGUUCGGUCGGCGCACCGAGGCUCCGCGCCCGGGUCCCAGGCCGUGCUGGGGACGCUGGCUGGGCGGAGCAGCGGGGAGCAGCAGCACCUAACAGCACACAGUGGUGUUUGGCUCUACCCUUCCUGUGGGAUGGAUUAUUCUGAAGCAUUUUCGGUGUAGACCUGCUGCUGGAUUCUAGAAUCUUAAUCAUAGCUAAUUAAGAUCUGCAAAACUAGAUUUUUUGGGCAAAGCAACUUAUACAUAGAUGGAGUAUUGAGAAUUCCAGCCUCCAUAAAUUUCCCUUCAAGAUUAUGAGAUAGCUACUUAUACAGAGCGAACGAAUCAUGGCUCUUCAUGGACCCAGACCACCAAGAACAAAACUGCCUUCUCUAGGCUUCUCUGUAUUAGGUGGAAUCAUGCAAGAAGAAAUUUACAGUUUGGAGCAGUUUGGAAGUAACUUUGUUCUUUUUAACCCCCUUUCUCCAUUCCAUUUCAUGGAACAUGAAUCUGACGGCUUGAACACUGGCAUCAAUCUUGCUCAACUGAGGAAUGGUGGAGAAGCCUCUUUGCAGGGGUUGAGAAUCUACCUUAAGAGCCCUGGGCUGCCUACUCCUGAAUUCUUUUAUAGGGAAGGAUGUAAACUUAUGUCUUAGCUAAAACACCAUUAUUUUGGUUUUCUGUCAUAGUCACUUAUGCAAAUGCCUACUUGUUAUAUACAUCUACUCUCCUGAAGUCAGAAAUUAUGUCAUAUUUUUACAAUUCUGACAAAUCAAAACUUAGUAUAGAUCACUCCAUCUGGCUUAAUUUUAUGCCAUUAACUUUUUGGAUGAAUACAAGGAGGAUUUACUAUUUUAAAAUAAGUGACAUAUACAUAAUAGAAAAAAUAUUAAAUAUUUAGGAUUAAUUUUAACACAUUAGCAAAUGAAUUGGCAUGUAGUGUCAUCUGUGGUGAUAGAAUAAUUAAUGAAGAUGACAUGGUUCCUGUAAUGUACAGUAAUGUCCAAGAUGUCCUCAGGAAGUCCCUGUAAGGGACACGGAUUUAGCUCAGUGGUUCCGCUGCCUGCCUUGAAAGUGCAAGGUCCUGAGUUUGAUCCCCAGUGUGAAAAAGAGAGAAGUCCCUGUAAACUAGAGCUACAUCUGGCACAAAGAGUACAUUCUCAAGUUAGUACUGCUGGCAAAACCACAUAUAGUCAAGCAUUAUCCUUUUAUUCCUUUUAAAAUUCUCAGAAAUUUAGAAUAUAUGCAGGUUUGGAAUACAGCUCUAUUCAGGCUUUCAAGGCAGGAAAAAUACUUAUUUGUAUUUAUGAAAAAAUUUGAAAUUGUCAAUGGACUCCUGAGAAGAAAAUUCUGAAUUUCCAGGCUUUUCUUCAGGCCUUAGUGCUAAUUUAUGUAAAAAGCCUCUACAUCAUAAUAUACACUAAUAGGUCUGUUUGUUUUGAUGUUGAAUAAGCAAGACACAAGAGUUUCAUAACUUAUAACUGGGUUUUAGUGUUAGCUUAUAAUGUGCUAUGUGUUUAGAAGUAUCAGGUUUUUAGUAUGACUUUAUUAUUUUUUUGUAUUGGUUAAUUUUCAUGCAAAAUGUCAAUGUUCUUAGGGUAUUUUUAUUGGAAACUUUUUCAUUAUUAUUCAUAAUUAUGUAGGAAUGAGUUCCAAAAUUUUACUUUUUAUAAUUCCAAGUCCAUUUGCAGGUGUUGGUAUGCGUGAUUCACAAAAUAUAAUACUGAUAAAUUAAAAUAUUAGCCGUUUUAAAAAAUAUGUAAUAUGCUUACACUGAUUUUAUGUCCUGCUGGUAUUUUUAACUUCCUGAAAGAACUCAAUUGGCAGGUCAGAAAUUUGUCUGUAUUCUGUGGAUAAAACCUUAAGGGUAAAAAUAAAGCUUUAAUUUUGGGUGGAUGUGAAAAAUAGGUAUGAUUUUUUUGUUCCUUUAAAGACUUGACAGUCAGGAGCACUGAAGAGUCUUUUAUUCUAAAUUAAUUUUUAUUUGCAUUGAAAUAUUGUAAUAAAAAUUUAAGCCAUAUAGUGCUAACACAUAAAAAGCAUGAUCCUCUUGAUCAAUUCAGAUCCUUAAGCAACACUCUGCUGACAGAGAAUAUCAGUUCUUUAGGUGUUCCUUCUAGUAUUUACUUCUGCAUAGGUAAACAGCACAAGCCAUUGCCAUUUGCUCACUCAUUAAUUUUAGAAAUUAUUAUUAUUAUUAUUGGAUUUCCUAUUUUGAGACAUUAGGAGUUGGGCUUAUUUAUCCCUCUCUUUCUCUACUAUCAUUCUUUAAAUAAAAUUUUGGUAAAGCCCACCCUUUUUUCUUAAUGAAAUAUUGUUUCCUUUCAACAGAAUAAUAUUCUAAAAUUAGAUUUUAUUAUUUAAACUACUAUCUGUAUUUUUCUGGAGAUAAUUGGCUUAUUUUUAUACUUAUUUAAUUCUCUGCAAAUAUCUAGGCUUUAUGUAGCCAUUAGGAAAUCUGGAAUUGUUUUCUGUGGAGCUCAGACUCUCAGAUAAUUUCUCAGCUGUAUUUUUGUUGGAGAAAUAGCUCCUUGACCCUUUUGACCUCUUUCUGUCUUGGAAUUCUCUGUCACCAGGCUUGAAGAAAUGUUGGUCUUAUGUUUGCUAUUGAGAGAAUUCCCUUUCACUCUGGCCUGUAUUGGAUCCCUGGUCCCUUGAUUCCUAUGUCUUCUUUUGUGGUACAUUCUUGUAUUUUGGUGAAGCAUAAAAAUCUAAUAUUUUCCUGAGAAAUUGUGCGUGGGACAUAAUUUUUUUUGAAAAUUUGCAUUAAAAAUACCUUUAUUGGGCCGGUUAUUUAGCUCAGUGGUUUCGCCGCCUGCUGCACAAGCUCAAGGACCCGAGUUCGAUCCCCGGUACCAAAAAAAAACAAAAAAACCUUUAUUCACCUUAUAUUUGAUUAGUAGUCCUGCAUUUUAUAAUUCUUGAUUAAUUUUAAAUAACUUUUAACACUUUAUAGGGAAAUCUUUUUUUAAAUUUCCAUCUACCUUCCAACAUUUGAGAUGAGAAAUCCAAUACUAUUCUUCUUCCUAAACUUUGUUAGCUGCCUUAUCUUUCUUUUCUAAAAAUUUUGGCAAUUUUCUUUAUUUAGGGGGAUUGAUAUGUCAAUAAUAUUUAUCUUUGUAGCCUAAACUGAGAAUAUAUAAGUCAAUUUGUAUUUGUUUCUAUUAAAAUUACUCUUCCAAAAAGUUAGGCAAAAGAAGGGCAAUAGGAGAGCUAAGUCUAUUACAUGCAAUAAAUUCCUGUUCCAAACUCCAUAGAUCUAUUUAGUAGUUAGGAAUAUCUAUUCUUCAUUUUAUUUGAAAAAGCCUCUCAUCUGCCUUUAUCAUGGAACGAGCCUGGGAAAAGUGAGUUCUGACUUUGAGUAAAUACCGAAUAGUUUCUCUGGUGUGAGGAACUAAAAAUGUAAAUAAGGAUCAAAAUGUAUAAUUGAUAAUGUGAAAUAGAAAGAAAAGGUGUAAAGGGGUAGGGGAAAUGGGAGAGGUAGGGGAAAGAAGAAGGGA